rnacentral:lncRNA from 1 species
GGAAUUCAAAGCCCAAUAUGUCAAAAUUGAAUCAAACUACACACACAUCAUAAUAAUGAUGAAUAACAUGAAGGGUUACUUUCACUCAUCCAAGCAAUUAAAUUAACAACAACUCAAAUCAUGCGGUUAUCACAACAAAUACCAAAUCAUGUGAAAAAUGAGAAUCAAGAGGGCUUUCAAAGGUUGUAAUGUGGCUUAGGUUACAAGAAAGGAUAUGAUUAAGAGAAUUCAAAAAAGUUGCCUAUCCUAGGGGAGCAUUCCCAAACACUCAACUCUACACAAUUUCCCUUUCUUUGAUCCCUAUUUUUUUUUCUUUUUCUUAUUACAUCCACAAAACCAUGAGCAUUUUCUUUGAUUUUUUUUUUCUUUACUUUUUUCUUUGCUCUAUGGCUUCAAGGGUAUUUUCUUUUUCUUGUUUCUUUUCAACUUUUCACCCUUUCAUAAAAACUCACUUUUCCAAGUUUCUAAUCAACUUUUCACUUUACUCUCCCCAACUUUAGAUUCCAAAACCAAAUUUAUUCAAUAAUGCUCCCUACUUAGACAUAAGCAAAAGGCAAAAUUUUC